rnacentral:lncRNA from 1 species
GACAACCCUUCCUCUCUGUGCCCCAGGAGGGAGUUUUGCAGCAGAUGUGGGGGACGUUGCGUUGGCGUUGGCACCGAGGUCAUUCUGCAUGCUCGAUGCACUCCCACUGCAAAAGGAAGAGCUGUGUUGCUGUUUAUGCUUCACUGUUGGAUGACUCUCUAAGAACUGAAGAGGAGCAAUCAGGCUUAAAGCUCAACCCUUUGGAUGCUAUUGGCUGCCCAUCAGCACUGCAAAUUUUGGGUACUCUAGGUACCCAAACAGAAAGAUACUGGGAGUACCUCUGA